rnacentral:rRNA from 1 species
AACGAACGCUGGCGGCAUGCCUAACACAUGCAAGUCGAACGAGACCUUCGGGUCUAGUGGCGCACGGGUGCGUAACGCGUGGGAACCUGCCCUUAGGUUCGGAAUAACUCCCCGAAAGGGGUGCUAAUACCGGAUAAUCUCUUCGGACCAAAGAUUUAUCGCCUUUGGAUGGGCCCGCGUUGGAUUAGCUGGUUGGUAGGGUAAAAGCCUACCAAGGCGACGUUCCAUAGCUGGUCUGAGAGGAUGAUCAGCCAGACUGGGAAUGAGACACGGCCCAGACUCCGACGGAAGGGAGCAGUGGGGAAUAUUGGAGAAUGGGCGAAAGCCUGACACAGCAAUGCGGCGUGAGAGAUGAAGGCGUUAGGGUUGUAAAGCUCUUUUACCCGGGAUGAUAAUGACAGUACCGGGAGAAUAAGCUCCGGCUAACUACGUG